rnacentral:misc_RNA from 1 species
UUACAUUGCUUGCCAUCUGACGAUACAAUUCAGAGUAUGGGACUCCGGCGAGCCCGCGUCGAAUCUUCCGACGGCUGUUUCCAACGUCUCGCCGAAGCAACGUCGAGUUGUCAAGGGUGGAGUCCUUUCGGAGUCUCGGUAAUGAUCCUUCCGCAGGUUCACUGUCGAUGUUAGCGUUGCAAUUUGAAUUCAGAAAAUUGCUCACCCUACGGAAA